UACGGGGGGGCGAGCGUUGUUCGGAAUUAUUGGGCGUAAAGCGCGCGCAGGUGGCUAUGUAAGUCUGAUGUUAAAGCCCGAGGCUCAACCUCGGUUCGCAUUGGAAACUGUGUAGCUUGAGUGCAGGAGAGGAAAGUGGUAUUCCACGUGUAGCGGUGAAAUGCGUAGAGAUGAUGGAGGAACACCAGUGGCGAAGGCGACUUCUGGCCUGUAACUGACACUGAGGCGCGAAAGCGUGGGGAGCAAACAGGA
rnacentral:rRNA from 1 species